UCAAUCCUACUUCAAAAACUGCAGAAACCCAGUUAUUUUCCAACAAACCAUAACUUAUUUCAUGAAAUUAUUUCACCAAGUUAUCAAUCCUACUUCAAAAACUGCAGAAACCCGGUUAUUUUCCAACAAACCAUAACUUAUUUCAUGAAAUUAUUUCACCAAGUUAUCAAUCCUACUUCAAAAACUGCAGAAACCCAUUUAUUUUCCAACAAACCAUAACUUAUUUCAUGAAAUUAUUUCACCAAGUUAUCAAUCCUACUUCAAAAACUGCAGAAACCCGGUUAUUUUCCAACAAACCAUAACUUAUUUCAUGAAAUUAUUUCACCAAAUUAUCAAUCCUACUUCAAAAACUGCAGAAACCCGGUUAUUUUCCAACAAACCAUAACUUAUUUCAUGAAAUUAUUUCACCAAGUUAUCAAUCCUACUUCAAGAACUGCAGAAACCCGGUUAUUUUCCAACAAACCAUAACUUAUUUCAUGAAAUUAUUUCACCAAGUCAUCAAUCCUACUUCAAAAACUGCAGAAACCCGGUUAUUUUCCAACAAACCAUAACUUAUUUCAUGAAAUUAUUUCACCAAAUCAUCAAUCAUACUCCAAAAACUGCAGAAACCCAGUUAUUUUCCAACAAACCAUAACUUAUUUCAUGAAAUUAUUUCACCAAGUUAUCAAUCCUACUUCAAAAACUGCAGAAACCCGGUUAUUUUCCAACAAACCAUAACUUAUUUCAUGAAAUUAUUUCACCAAGUUAUCAAUCCUACUUCAAAAACUGCAGAAACCCGGUUAUUUUCCAACAAACCAUAACUUAUUUCAUGAAAUUAUUUCACCAAUUUAUCAAUCCUACUUCAAAAACUGCAGAAACCCGGUUAUUUUCCAACAAACCAUAACUUAUUUCAUGAAAUUAUUUCACCAAGUUAUCAAUCCUACUUCAAAAACUGCAGAAACCCAUUUAUUUUCCAACAAACCAUAACUUAUUUCAUGAAAUUAUUUCACCAAGUCAUCAAUCCUACUUCAAAAACUGCAGAAACCCGGUUAUUUUCCAACAAACCAUAACUUAUUUCAUGAAAUUAUUUCACCAAAUCAUCAAUCAUACUCCAAAAACUGCAGAAACCCAGUUAUUUUCCAACAAACCAUAACUUAUUUCAUGAAAUUAUUUCACCAAGUUAUCAAUCCUACUUCAAAAACUGCAGAAACCCGGUUAUUUUCCAACAAACCAUAACUUAUUUCAUGAAAUUAUUUCACCAAAUUAUCAAUCCUACUUCAAAAACUGCAGAAACCCAGUUAUUUUCCAACAAACCAUAACUUAUUUCAUGAAAUUAUUUCACCAAAUUAAACUAAAAUUCAACAGUUGUUCUUGAAAUACGCAGUUGGCGAAUUUGGCGAGUGCCAAAGCUGGCCCUUAGUCAUAAUAUUGAAAUUUUAAGUUCUCUAUAUGGGUUUUUCUUAUGUACCACAUAUACAAUUUGUCUGUAUUUAAUGGAAAAUGUUAAGAUGAUAUAUAUAUAUAAGUAUAUUUCAGUUCCUUUAAUUCCUUAUUUUUGCAGCUUUCUUUGUUGUGUAAAGUGCUGUGAUUAACAGGUAACAUAUUUCUUGCAAUGCUGAAUCCAGACUAAUACUAUUGUUUUCACUUCGGCAAAUUUUGUUUGAAAAUUUCUAAAGAGUAAAGAGUUAGCGUUUUAUUAACCAAAUAAAAUGCAACAAAAUUGUGUAAGCGUCAAUGCGAUUUCGCACAUAUUUGUCAAUACUGUGCAUAUACACAGUACCUAUUCCAUAUAUGCAAUUUUGCAUGCAUUUAGUACACUAAAAUAAGUCUGUUGAUGGGUGAUUUUUCUGUUCAGGUUUUCCAAUGUGGUGAUUCAUAACGUAAAGUAUUUACUAGUGGCUUAAAAAUGCAUUUCAACAAUGUCAAGUUUUAUAUAGUAAAUAUGGAGUCUGAAAAAACACAUUUCGAUGUGUGGAAAAGUGAACAGUAAAUUUAUGCGGAAUCCCAUUAAUGGAAAGCAGGCUUUAUAUUAUAAUUAUUUUAUAAUAGUGCUACUUUUUUUUACUGAAUUCAGCUUCUUUUUAAAAUUAAUAUUGCAUGCCCAACUUAGUAAAAACUAUUUCAGGGUCUCUAAAUAGACCGAUCUAUAUAUAGACUGAUCUCUAUAGAAAAACAUGACGUGAAAUAUUUUUCAUUAUUAACAGAUUGUACUGUUAAGUUAUCCAUGACAAACUGCUGAUAUUACAUAAUUAUAUAGUUGUAUGCUCAAUAGGAUGUGCCUUGAUAUAAUCACAAACUGUAUUUUUUGCAAUAUUGAGAAAAUAUUUUAUUAAUACUUUUGCUGGUGAUCGUGUUAACAUUUCUUAUUUCUAAUAUCUACUUGAAAUGUUCUAAUUUUGUGUUGGGUGUGUUUUGUUUAUUUUGAUUUAUUAUUUAUUUAUUUAUUUUUUUAUUUGGAAAAAGGUUACGUGUGUUAAUUAUUAUCAUGGUAGACCUAUUCAAGAGAAUUUGCAAAUAUAUUUUGAAAUGAAAUAUAACCUUUUAUUUAUCUACCAUUACUUUGAUGAGAGAGAGAGAGAGAGAGAGAGAGAGAGAGAGAGAGAGAGAGAGAGAGAGAGGGAGAGAGCAAGAUAUAUAGAGAGAGAACGAGAGGGGUCAUACAUUUGCCUCAAAGUUGUUUCAAUUUUAUAUAUGAAUAGAAUUAUAAUAAGGGUGUUUUAUAUUACUUACCGUAGUUGUGUAUUAUGUCUCUUAUAAAUGUCAUCACUUCAAAUAUUGUCAGUUAAAACAGUUUCAUUGUUUGGAUCUGCAAAACCAAUAACUGGUCUUAUGUAGAUUCUUUAAGCUGAGAGGAAAGAAAGUUGUGAUUUGGCAAAUUAAAGAAAUACAAAUUGGUUUGUUUUAGCUACACCCAAUGUAAUCGUAUUAAUUCUUAAAUAUUUGCUAAAUUGUACUUCCAUUGAUGUUUGAUGGUUUGGUUCUCAAUAUAUCUUAAAUUGUGCUCAUUAAAUGCUGCUCAUUUCAUAAGGUGACAAUUAUUGUUCAAUAUUACUUUUUACAGUACUGUUUUUGGCUCGCCUUUACAAAGUUAAAAAACAUGAUAUAGGUAUUACUUUUUUGACGGGAGCAGUGGCGUCAGUGUUUGCACCAAAAGUUUAAUGUUCAAGUUUCACGCUUAGAUGAGUUUAUCACAAACUAUAUGUCCUAGGUCAGUGAAGCGUGGUUUACAGAUACACCUAUAGGUGUUCAUCACAGUGCACAGAAAUAUUUUAUAGUGGGGAAGAAAUUUAAAUUUGUGGAAUUUUUGUUUUUGUAUUAUGUAAGAGUGCUAUCCUGAUACAUUACUUUCAAAAAAUAUUGGCCUGAUUAAUCUUCAAUUAGUUUAUUGUUACUCAUGUUCAUGGGACAUAGCUCAACAUACUGGGUCAUGAUUAGUAUAUACGUUGGGGGGGGGGGGUCAGGGUGUCCGUUAUGGGCAGGAGGCCAUUAUAUAGAGGUGCCCGUUAGACCAAGUUCGACUCUAUUCAUUUUUAUACUUUCUAUUAUUGAUUAAACAGUGGCAAGGUUUGUUUUAGUGGUAGAGCACUUUGCCUGUGUUGUAAGAUCAGUUUUCCCAUCUGUGAGUAAACUAAUUCCAUACCAUGCAGAGUUCUACAGUGUGAUACAUCAAAGCCAUGUUACAUGUACAUGUUAGGCCGUCCUUUGAAAACUCUAUGAGAUCAGACGGUUUCUUCUUUCAUUCUUUAGACACAGUGUCACUUUAGUUUUUAAAAUAUAUUAGACAUAUAUUGUAUUUUUAUACUGUCACUUGGAUCAUCAGUAUUUUGCCUGUAGUAAUUGUUGUCAAGAGUUAUGUCCCUUGUGUUCAGUAACUUCCAUCAUAACUUGAUUUACCACAUAUAAAUAGCUGGAAAGUGGAUAUUGAAAAACCUACAUGAUUUGUGAUAAAAUCAAAACGAAUAUCCUAUGGCAAUGUUGUUUUCUCUCAUACAGUAGGCCAGCCGUACACACUUACCAUGAUGUUUGUGAUACAUACAUUAUUUCCACCUAGUUGUAAUCUGUUGUGGCAUAUUAUAUGUAUGUAUCGUUUUACUUUUUACUUAUGUUGUAUUAUUUUCUGGAUAUUUUUGAACUAUAAACCAAGAUAUUAACUGUUAAAGCUUAUUUUCUAUAUUGUUGUGUUUAUAUUUUACUCAUAGUUUAAUAUAAUUCAUAUUUAUUGUGCUAAAAAAUUAAAAUACCAGAAAUGAUAACAUGGAGUGGAUUUUUGGGAAGCGGUAUCUAAGAAGAAAACAUAAAAUGAAAUUAAAGGUGCACAAAAUAUGUUUGAAUGUGUGAACACAAAAUGUACAGUGUACUUGUUCAGUACCCCCUAUAUCCCAUACACAUUAAAAAAAAAAAAAAAAAAAAAAAAAAAAAAAAAAAUCCACUGGUUAGAUAUAAUAGUACGUACUUCAGAAAAAUUCUCCAGGCAUUUGUUUUUAAUAUCACCACCACCUCACCCAGACCCAACACUACCAUCACCAUCUGUUAUUUCUGGAAUAUAGUUUAUGUUGAAUACAAUAGUAUUAGUGAAAUCCUAUUAGUUUCUACUUCAGUUGACUGUUGUUAAUUAUUCUUUAGUUAUUAUUUUAAAAUAUUUUCUUUACUCUUGUUGACAGAUUUAUAUUCAUUGUAUUUCUUUGUUUGUUUAUUUUUUUAUUAUCAAAUGAAUAUUUAUAGUACACAUAAGUAUUUUGCAUUCCAUGUAUUUGAGUUGUGAACAUGUGAUACAGUACUGAAAUAAUUUGUUUAGGCUUGUUUACCUUUAAUAUUGUUUACACCUUGAAACUUAAAAUAUUUUGAUGUCGAUGACUGACAACCAGAAUUGUUCAUGUCCACCUUUUGUGAAAAUUAGAAAACACAUUUCAUUUUCUUCUUCUUAUGGUGGUCUUUUUUUUUUUUUUUUUUUUUUUUUUUUCUCCAGGGGAUAUAUUUAGCAGGGGUGAUGUAUAGCUAUAUAACUUGAAUACAUUAAUAAAUUGCUUGAUUUUAAGAUUUUACAGAAAUUUUAAAACAUCAAUACUACAUGUUAGUCUUGUUUUGGGGGUUUUGUUUUUUGGACAUAACCAGUUUUGGUUUUUAGUUCUCGAUAUUGAUAGUUUUGAUGGAGUUGAAAUUUUAUACUCUUUUGCCACCAUAGAAUUUAACAGCACAUACCUUGACACAAAUAUCAUUCCUAGGCUAAAAACUCAGUUGGAAAAAUAAAGAAUCCCUUCCAUUCUCGUAUUAUCAGAACUGACUUCCAAAUCAUGUUAUUUUAUAUUUUAUCAGCACCCUUUGAUAAAAGUAUAAAAAUCCUCAGCAAGCCUUGGAUUUCAUACUUUUAUCAACUCGUGCUGAUAAAUUAUGAUAUCACAAGACACUCUGGGAGUAUCUUCUAUAUAAUAAUAAUAAUAUAUGUAAAUAAUUGAAUUAUAUAUGCAUAUUAUAUUCAUAACAGUUAUUUAUGUUAUCACUGCAAGCAAUGUUUUCUUGCAGUACUGUAUUUGUUUUUUUUGUUUUUUUUGCUGUUGGGGAAUAACAUUAGUACUUCUGAAUUGGACUUUAUACAUUCCUGUUGUAUGGAAAGGUGCGUUCUCAGUGUGGUUUUAGUAAUUGUUUGUAACAUACAAUCAACAAUAUCACAACUGUAUCAGUUUUAUUUGCAUACAAGUACAAUAAUGUACGGUACAACACAGCCAAAUCAUGUCAUGUUAUUUGUAUAAAAAACAAACAACUGUGUUAACACUGUUAUGAGAACAGUUUAUGCUGAAGUCUCUAUUCUCCAUGCUGCAAUAUUGAUUACUAAAUUUUGUUUUCACUAUCAACAAAUAUUUAUGCAUUUAACAUAACAUUUUAGUUGGGUUUUGGUGAUAUUUUUAUUAUUGUAAUGGAAUAACAUUUUUAUCUUUUUGAUCAGUGGUUUUUGUGAAUUGUAUGUGACAUAAAUAGGUAUAUUUACUUUAAUACCAUUGAUUCAGAAAGAGCUGUGAAUGUUUAUUUUGUUGAUACUGUUUUUUGUUUUUUAUUUUAAAGAAAAAACAUUUCGAUUCCUUUUCUGUUUGUUGUAAUUGCAAGGGGCAGGAUAAUAAUUAGACUUUAUCACAAUGGUUUACCAUUCUGCUUUAUUUACUUACAUACUUAUCAAUAUUAAUAUAUUUUUCUGGUCUAACUUGAUAUGAUAAAGUGAUUGUUUUGACAUUGUUAUUUUUAAUGAUUAUGCAUAAUAUCUUCAUAGUGUAUACAUUGACAUAGAUAUUUUAAUUGCCAGUAGGGGUAUAUUUUGAUAUGUCUUCCUCAGUAAAUAAAAACUGUAUUACACAAGGGAAAUAACCACUUGUGUUUAACAUAUAUGUUUGAGUAGCCUGUAUGGUAGGACCAGGUUUCCUGUAUUUCUCCUUUGACUAAGCAUUAAAAUAACCAUUUUUAAAGUUCUAGACCCUAGUUUUUAAAACACUACGGCAUAAUUUUCACUAAUAGAGCCCGUUUUAACAAUUACUGUUAUUUUCUUGUUUGAAAUAAAUAUUUUAAGUGUCUGUGGUCAUCCUGAUGUUUCUAAUGCACGAAAUGCAUUUUUCAUAAUUCUAAAAAUGCACAUACUACUAAGAAGUAACUGUUAUUGAGAUGAGCUGUAGGCCAUUUUAGAGGGUAUUUCCCCAUUUCAAACUCUUGUUUCUCUCUAUGGUAACUUUAGUCAGAUGUGUUACAGGUUGGUAGAUUAGGCCCCCAAAAAAUAAUAUGUGUGUUUCAGGUUUCAUCUCUGGAAAAAAUAGGUAGGAACUUUUUUUUUUUUUCUUUUUUUUUUUAAACCGUGUUCUUGACAUACUGCAUAUAUCCUGUCUGCAAAAAUCGUGGUAGAUGUUGAGGUGGGGAGGGUUUUUUUUUUUUUUUUUUUUUUUUUUUUUUUUUUUUUUGGUAGUCAAAUGUAUUAGGGUCGGUCGGGAAACGGAAACACACAAUUUUCUUUUUUUUUACGCCAUAACCAAACUUAGCGCCUAUUUUCACGGGUUCAAACUGGGGUCUGCAACUUUAAGUAAGACAUCAAAUAUAUCAUUAAAUAAUUAAAUAAAUAUUUCUUUUCUUUCAUUUCAUAAUUCAGUUUUGUUUUUGGGUCACAUUAUUAUGUCAGAAACAUAAGGCGGGUUUUCCUGUUUGGCAGGUAUACAGUUGUAUUUACAUUACUUGAGUGCCAGUUUUUAUUUUCACUUACUGCUGUUACAAUCAGACAUGCUUAGUCAUUGCCUUAGGUCAUUCCAUUAUCAUAACUUUUUAUUUGUGUUCUUUGCUUCAUUUGUAACAAAGUAUUAAAAAUAUCCAGGCUCUGAGCUAAUAAGACCUUUACUCUCGUGUGUCUCUUUGUUUGUUUGGCUCUGUUAUUUGUUCAUGGAUUUGCUUGCCUACAUUUUCUUUGAUUUGAUAUGUAAUGUCUCAAACCUGGUUUUCAUACAGUUAAAAUUCCUAAUCCAAAACCUUUGUAGGUCUGUGGUAUGAUUAUAAAAGGAGAUCAGGGUUUGAAACCUAAAUGUUUCAACCAAGAAAUCGUCGCUACGUCCAUGCAAAUUAUUUCCAGUUUCAGUCUUGGGAGUCCAGACUGUAAAGUUUCACAAGCCAUGUGCCUAGGUAUAAAACUCUGUGAUCAGAUUUUGGUGUAUUCACUAAAUAUAAAGCAACUGCAUUAAUCUCAUUUUGAGAUCUUAUAAACAAUGUAUCAUGAUUGACAAUGCUAUUUGUUAGGUACAUUGUAGUUGUUCCUUCCAUGCUCGUAUUACCAGAAUUGCUAAAGGGCUUAAAAGGAUUAUGCAAUGUUGCUAAAUUAAGAGAGCUGAUGAGAGCUAUGUGAAUUAAGACCCCAGGGCCCCGUUCCACGAAGCAAUCUUAGCACUACUAUCAUCGUAAAUACCUACCAUCGUGACCUUAAUUUUUUUCUAUGAUCACCAGCCCGUUCAACGACGCGGCAUAGCUUACUUUUGUCAUAAAUUUCAGUGAUAAUGUACAAUUGAUAUGAGGCAGUUGUAAGCCACUAACGUAGCUGUCAAAUGGCAGUUAGAUGAUGAUUUCAUCAUUUUUUAAGAAGGAUACCAACUUUUUGUGUGAAAAUGGUGAAACUCUGCGUUUGAUGAAAAACAGUCUAGGCCAUACAACAUUCACACAAAAAUACAGGUGAUAACUGUCAUGUCUUAUGCAUAUGGCAAUUAUCGCUUAGCAGAUAAACUGACAAAGUUACUUCAUGGAUGUCCAAUACCAAUGAAUAUAUCCAAGAUGUUCCAAAAAGACGAUAAAAGUAAAACACAGUGAAACCUGUUACAGCAGCCAUCUUGGGAUGUUCAAGGUUUUGUCAAUUAUGUCGUUAAACUGUUAUUUGGCACCAUUCCUUCCUUUUAUAUUUUAUUAUAUAUAAACAUACAUCGUACAUGUAUAUUUAAAUAUAUACAUAAUGUAAGUUUACAUAUAUUUUUAUAAUCAGAUGAAGUUAGACAUGGAAGUGUCUGGGUAGCUCACAAAUUUAUUUUUAUUGAUCAAAUUGUCAACUGAUUUAAUAUUCGGAAUCAUUCACAAAUUGUGGUCAGUGGUAUUUGCUAUGCUCAAGAAAUUCAUUCCAACCUUGUCAACCAGUUAUUUUUUAAGCAUAUAAUUUACAUUAUUUAAACAUUUUCACUUUUGUAAAACAUUAUUGGCUGAAUUUAUAAAGCUUGUUUUUGACUUACACGUGUGUACUACACUUAUUUAUAACAUCUAUGUUUAAAAAAAAACAUGCUUUGUUAAACUGGCUCUUUAUUUUUUUUACUUAUCAAACCAUGGGUUCAAAAAUACAUUUGGCUACUUCAUAAAAGAUGGCUACUUAAUAUAGGUCAUUAUUAGUUUUUUUACUCUAUGUAGGGUUCGAACCUUGUAAAAAAAAUAUGGUAGCCCUAAAAAUAAUAUUGCAUGUUGUCAAAUUAUGAUAAGUGAACCACGAGCAAGAUUUUAAUGUGGAAUAUAAACAUUAAUAGUGGCUCAUAUGUUAUAGCUCUAAAGAAGAUAAUAUUAUUUGGCCGACUAACGCCAUUAUUUUUUAAUAAUUAAGUCACCCAAACAGGACAUUGGUCGCAUUUGGCUACCUGGCCACAUGCCAUUUUGAUUCCUGCUAUAGAAUAGUAAGGUGACGGUGACCUUAAGACAGGUGGCUGCUUGAGCAGGUUUAAUUGUCUCCAUUUAUGAUGUUAUCUAUGCAUUUUAUUGCUAUCUCUCUUGUAUGAGUGAAGCUAAAUGUAGUUAAGUGCCUUGAUCACAGAGAUAUGAUAUAGCCUGUAGCCAUUGUAGUUUAUAUAUAUUCAUAUGCAUCCCCUUCAAGAUAAUCAGCUUAUUUUCUGGUUGAAAUUAUUUAUACAGUUCUUCCAAUCUCAAAGAGGCAUAAUCUAUACUGAGUGAUUUUAUUUUUUGGUUGUGUUUGUUUAAUAUGAACCACUUUACUUUCUGUUUUAUUAGAAAUAAAAACAUUCCAUCCUUUGA